UUGAUAUUAAUUCUAGAGCUUUUUUAAGACUCAAAACACUCACUCACUCAGCGCUCUCUAACAUCGAUCUGACGACCUCGCCUCGCUUCCGACAACCCCUUUCUUACUUCUCCUCAUCGAAGAUCUCAUCUUCAGCUGACCUUAAAUUCCUUUGUUUCCAUCUUUUGCAGAAAACCCAAAUACACGCUCACCCCUUUUUGAUGCUCAGAAACAAAAAAGGGUAAGCGCCUUGGUAUUUUAGAAGAUGUAUUUUGGGGAAUAGGGGAUUUUGGUUCUACGUGUUCUUAUAACCCUGGGAAUCAAGAACCCUGUAUUCUCACACCGGAUUCAUAGUUGAACUCUACCAGAGAGAAAAGUGUACGGAUGAGCCUAAUGGGUCGGGGAAUAGAAGAGGAAGCGCUAGUCCUUCUUCAUAGAAGACUAUGUGAUCUCAAUUUCAUCUUCUCCCUCUUCUCCGAUUCUCCCGACAUCAACUACAGCAAGUUGAAAUUUAUCGUAUCAAAUUCGGUAACUGAGGCUGUAACAAUUCGAUACUGCUUCUGGGUCCUCGAGGAUACGGAAAAAUUGCGGUGUUGGAUUACUCUAUAUCUGUUGUGGUAUCAGUCACAAUGGCUGACCUAAAAGAGCAUCUCCUCCCACCAAAACCUACAUCAGCUAUAAACCUUAGUGAUGCAUCAUAACACCAGAUAAAGUUCUGCUUUUGAAUUCUCUUGAUUGCUAUGUGUUACCAUAUGUGGUGGAAUUACAAAGACGAUUGAAAGCUACAGGGGUUGGUGUGGUGUGGCAAUCUGAAGGGGCAAAGUUGAACAGACGAAUGGGAAAUUCAAAUAGAUCCUUAGGGUACCUGUGCAUGGUUUUUAGGGUUUUUAAGACUACCUUCCAUUGAAGAGAGAUUAAAAAAGAGGUGAUCUCCUUGAAAGAGGUGUUCUUUCUUCUUCAAAUGUAUUAUUUUUGGUCUAUUUAUAUAUGCCCAUUUACAUGUUCAUACAGAUUCUGUCUUUUCAACUUUCAUCAAUAGAUUAUGCAUAUACAAUAUAGAGGUCUUUCACUCUCUUCUUGUAGUUAUAGAUUCCUGAUUUCUAAAACCAAAGAAGUUAUUUCAUCAUUUUAUCUGCAAGAAGUACAUAAGAAUAUUCCAUAGAACAACAUGGCGGAGCUUAUUUCUCGAUCACCUUCAUCAGGUUGUCCAUACUACAAGAAAUCUAGAGAGAAAUCGAGAGAGAGAGAGAGAGACUGUGUGUGUGUGUGUAAAAAUUAAUGAAUAGAAAACUAUCUGCAGUGUGCAAUUUCUUGUGUUGUUUAUUACAGGUUUAAGAGAUAUAAAGUUGAUUCAUUUGCAAUAAAAUGAUAUGUUCGUGGUUGGAAAACAAAAGAAAUUGCAAACUUUGAUUCAUUCUUUGCAUUCACUCUUUGUUGCUUUGUAGUUACACUUGAAAUUUUUUUUCUUUCCUAUGAGUGAGUAGUUCAGGAAGAUAUUCAAGACCUUUUUUUCAUUUAAUUAACCUUGAUCUGUGUUUAGAUGUCUUAGAAAUUCAGGGAUGAUGACCAAUUAUAUUGGGGUAUUCAAAACCUUUUGUUUGGUAACACUUCACCUGAGAGUUUAGGGCUCUAGAAGUUGCUCUUGAGGCUGUUUGUAUAUUUCUGUUGGUGGUGAUGCAGUUGGUAACAGAAGUGGAGCUUCACGAGCUCUUAUGAAGUAUAGGUUGAAGAUCUUCAAUGGUCAAUUUGAAGAGCUUCAUCAAAGACAAUCUCAAUGGACCACUCCUGACACAGAGAUUAGAGUUAGAGAAUCUAUCAGACUGGCAAUUAUUGAAGUCUUGUUGCCUGUAUACAUAUCUUUCAUUAAAUGUUUUGGGGCACUUGAUCGGAUGCUUUGUGAAUUUUUCAAGGGUAAGACUUUGAACAAAGUCCUCUCACAGAGGAGGAUGAUACUGUAGAUAUAAUGGGAUGACAUUAUCAAUUCGUAUCUUCAAUUCAGUCUCGUCUAAAGCAAUGGAUGAUCCAUUUGUGGUUCUAGAAACUGCCUCAACACCUGUCACAUCACCCCCAAGUGUUUUUAUUGAUCCAUUGGAAACAGUUCACAAGAUGAAUAAAUCCGGCAGCACUAAUGUUUGAGUAAGUAGGGGUGUGUUUGAUUUUGAUUACAUUGACCCCCUUCAUGGAUUUGGUAAGCCUGCAACAUUAAGCAUCCCACAUUUGGUGACGUCACUCAAAACUGGCUUAGAAGCAACACAAGAAGCUGCAUUGGACGCACUAUUUCUUCUGAGGCUAGCAUGGUCUGCAUGCCCUACUGAUGUCUCCAAAUCCAGUCGAGCCCACCUCGGUUUCAAGAAAAAGCCGAGUUUUUGUUGCAGUGUUUACCCGGAACAAAAACGGUCAUAAUUAAACGCAUGAAUAAUAUGAAACAUCUCCAUUAGAUAAGUUUGAGACUUUUGCCAUGGGUGGAAGUGGAACACAAGAUAAUGGUGUGGACCAUGUUAAUGGCAAAGAGAUGGAUUCAAACUCAGUUGUUGCUGCAAUGAAAGAUGCCAUAGAAUGGAAUCUGUGAACCAAGCAUGUCCUUUUGGCUGGAGCUUCUCUUGGACUUCUAUACAAGUUCAACCAAGCGUAAGCCAGACCAGAUGAUCAUCUUCAGGUCAAUUCUUUUCUUUGACUUCUGGUCAUUUUAAUAUAUUCUGCUGUCAUUUUCUUUAAACUAAGAACAAAAGCCCAAACCUUUGUUUCUUUGUGUACAUUGGAAACAUCAAGAUUCCUUGUAAUAAUUUAGAAUUUUAUUUGUAAUUGGGACGGUGUGAGCGAGUCGCAGUUCAACCAGGUUUUGAACAUUGAACUGGACCAAAUUAUCGAGUAGGCCUGCAAAUUCCUUGAUGAGAAGUGGAACCCAAAGUUUCUUGUGACAAUUGCUCAGAAGAAUCACCACAGCAAGUUUUUCCAGCAAGGAUCUCAAGACAAUGUCCAGCCUGGAACUGUGAUCGAUAACAAGGUCUGUCAUCCUCGCAACAAUGACUUCUACAUGUACGCAUAGGAUGUAAGGGAAAGAGAACUUGCAAAAGCUUUUAUAAACAAAGAAUCUGUAACUGUAAAACUACAAAGAGACGAUCUACAUGGGUUGUAGAACUUCCUCUUGCAGAAGUACCAGAUUGCUUCUUUUAAUUGAGUAAGCAUCUUGAAGCUGUCAGCAGUGAACAUUUCAAUCUGUGUUGUGUUGGCUUGAAGAAAACAAAAGACGAACAAAAAAUGACAACCCCAAUUUCAGAGAUCAGGGAUUGGUCCAUUGAACUCUGAAAUCAAGCAACAAAAGGUUGUAAAGCAUAGAAAGCAGGCAAGAUUAACUAAAAAAAGCACGCCCUGAAGACUCCAUGUCAAUGGUUGCUGAAAGCUUUCAAAAUAAUGAACAUGUUCACUUGUUGUCCCCAGUUGAUGUAUCUCCUUCUCUUUCGGUGAACAGGUCUGGAAGGCUUGAGAAUAAUGCAGCACAAUACUCGGUUGAUAUCGAGUUAUCUAGCUUAGUUAGUUUCUUAACUUUUGUAAUUAUAAGUAACUAAUUAAUCAUUUCUUAGUUUAUUAGGUCAGAUUACAUAAAAUUCAACUGACAUGUCAGCAUGUCACCAACUUUUAGGUCUUGUCCCUUGAUGAAGAUCAAUUGCAGCAAAUAUUGUAUCUGUAUGAGUAUCUAUGCAUUUGUCAGCUAAGAGAGAAAUAUGGACGAUAUCGCCCUUGGGGGAUACCUAUAUCAUAAAGACCUUUGGGAUGGAAGAUGCAAUGGUGGCAUUAUGCUCAAAACUCUGUGUUAUCUGAUGUUCGUAAAAGAAUGAAGAAAACUUCAUGGAAAUAAUUAGGAGAACGUCUGUAAGUUGUUCUUUC